GAUGAACGCUGGCGGCGUGCCUAAUACAUGCAAGUCGAGCGAACAGACGAGGAGCUUGCUCCUCUGACGUUAGCGGCGGACGGGUGAGUAACACGUGGAUAACCUACCUAUAAGACUGGGAUAACUUCGGGAAACCGGAGCUAAUACCGGAUAAUAUAUUGAACCGCAUGGUUCAAUAGUGAAAGACGGUUUUGCUGUCACUUAUAGAUGGAUCCGCGCCGCAUUAGCUAGUUGGUAAGGUAACGGCUUACCAAGGCAACGAUGCGUAGCCGACCUGAGAGGGUGAUCGGCCACACUGGAACUGAGACAGGGUCCAGACCCCUACGGGAGGCAGCAGUAGGGAAUCUUCCGCAAUGGGCGAAAGCUUGACGGAGCAACGCCGCGUGAGUAAUGAAGGUCUUCGGAUCGUAAAACUCUGUUAUUAGGUAAGAACAAAUGUGUAAGUAACUAUGCACGUCUUGACGGUACCUAAUCAGAAAGCCACGGCUAACUACGUG
rnacentral:rRNA from 1 species